rnacentral:rRNA from 1 species
UACGUAGGGUGCACGCGUUGUCCGGAAUUAUUGGGCGUAAAGGGCUCGUAGGCGGUCUGUCACGUCGGGAGUGAAAACUCAGGGCUUAACCCUGAGCCUGCUUCCGAUACGGGCAGACUAGAGGUAUGCAGGGGAGAACGGAAUUCCUGGUGUAGCGGUGAAAUGCGCAGAUAUCAGGAGGAACACCGGUGGCGAAGGCGGUUCUCUGGGCAUUACCUGACGCUGAGGAGCGAAAGUGUGGGGAGCGAACAGG